GAAACACCCCUAUGGAGCAGGACUUGCUUAAGUGGGGCAUUUGUUCUCACUGGGUCUGCUCCUUGAGUGUGUUGCU
rfam:Myotis lucifugus cont2.27248, whole genome shotgun sequence.